rnacentral:rRNA from 1 species
GACGAACCGUGCGAACGUUGUUCGGAAUCACUGGGCUUAAAGGGCGCGUAGGCGGCUCUCUUGGUCGUGGGUGAAAUCCCCCAGCUUAACCGGGGAAGGGCUUACGAUACCGGGGGGCUCGAGGGAGGAAGGGGCGGUCGGAACUGUCGGUGGAGCGGUGAAAUGCGUUGAUAUCGACAGGAACGCCGGUGGCGAAAGCGGACCGCUGGCCCUCUUCUGACGCUGAGGCGCGAAAGCCAGGGGAGCGAACGGG